UGGGGAAUAUUGGGCAAUGGGCGAAAGCCUGACCCAGCGACGCCGUGUGGGCGAUGAAGGCCUUCGGGUUGUAAAGCCCUGUGAGGUGGAAAGAAGGGCCGAGAGGUUAAUACCCUUUCGGCUUUGACGGUACCACCAGAAGAAGCACCGGCUAACUACGUGCCAGCAGCCGCGGUAAUACGUAGGGUGCGAGCGUUAAUCGGAAUUACUGGGCGUAAAGCGUGCGCAGGCGGUCUCGUAAGACAGGUGUGAAAUCCCCGGGCUCAACCUGGGAACUGCGCUUGUGACUGCGAGGCUGGAGUGUGGCAGAGGGAGGUGGAAUUCCACGUGUAGCAGUGAAAUGCGUAGAGAUGUGGAGGAACACCGAUGGCGAAGGCAGCCUCCUGGGCCAGCACUGACGCUCAUGCACGAAAGCGUGGGGAGCAAACAGGAUUAGAUACCCUGGUAGUCCACGCCCUAAACGAUGACGACUAGUUGUUGGGGUAGAAGUACCUUAGUAA
rnacentral:rRNA from 1 species